AUCAGUUCUGUGAGGUGUACUGCUGUAUGAAUCAGUUAUGUGAGGUGUACUGCUGUAUGAAUCAGUUAUGUGAGGUGUACUGCUGUAUGAAUCAGUUAUGUGAGGUGUACUGCUGUAUGAAUCAGUUAUGUGAGGUGUACUGCUGUAUGAAUCAGUUCUGUAGGGUGUACUGCUGUAUGAAUCAGUUAUGUGAGGUGUACUGCUGUAUGAAUCAGUUCUGAAGGGUGUACUGCUGUAUGAAUCAGUUAUGUGAGGUGUACUGCUGUAUGAAUCAGUUCUGUAGGGUGUACUGCUGUAUGAAUCAGUUAUGUGAGGUGUACUGCUGUAUGAAUCAGUUCUAUAGGGUGUACUGCUGUAUGAAUCAGUUCUGUAGGGUGUACUGCUGUAUGAAUCAGUUAUGUGAGGUGUACUGCUGUAUGAAUCAGUUCUGUGAGGUGUACUGCUGUAUGAAUCAGUUAUGUGAGGUGUACUGCUGUAUGAAUCAGUUAUGUGAGGUGUAGUGCUGUAUCAGUUAUGUGAGGUGUACUGCUGUAUGAAUCAGUUCUGUGAGGUGUACUGCUGUAUGAAUCAGUUAUGUGAGGUGUAGUGCUGUAUCAGUUAUGUGAGGUGUACUGCUGUAUGAAUCAGUUAUGUGAGGUGUACUGCUGUAUGAAUCAGUUAUGUGAGGUGUAGUGCUGUAUCAGUUCUGUGAGGUGUACUGCUGUAUGAAUCAGUUCUGUGAGGUGUACUGCUGUAUGAAUCAGUUCUGUGAGGUGUAGUGCUGUAUGAAUCAGUUCUGUGAGGUGUACUGCUGUAUGAAUCAGUUAUGUGAGGUGUACUGCUGUAUGAAUCAGUUCUGUGAGGUGUAGUGCUGUAUGAAUCAGUUCUGUGAGGUGUACUGCUGUAUGAAUCAGUUAUGUGAGGUGUAGUGCUGUAUCAGUUAUGUGAGGUGUACUGCUGUAUGAAUCAGUUAUGUGAGGUGUAGUGCUGUAUGAAUCAGUUAUGUGAGGUGUAGUGCUGUAUGAAUCAGUUAUGUGAGGUGUACUGCUGUAUGAAUCAGUUCUGUGAGGUGUACUGCUGUAUGAAUCAGUUAUGUGAGGUGUAGUGCUGUAUGAAUCAGUUAUGUGAGGUGUAGUGCUGUAUGAAUCAGUUCUGUGAGGUGUACUGCUGUAUGAAUCAGUUAUGUGAGGUGUACUGCUGUAUGAAUCAGUUCUGAAGGGUGUACUGCUGUAUGAAUCAGUUCUGUGAGGUGUACUGCUGUAUGAAUCAGUUCUGUGAGGUGUAGUGCUGUAUGAAUCAGUUCUGUGAGGUGUACUGCUGUAUGAAUCAGUUAUGUGAGGUGUAGUGCUGUAUGAAUCAGUUCUGUGAGGUGUACUGCUGUAUGAAUCAGUUAUGUGAGGUGUACUGCUGUAUGAAUCAGUUCUGUGAGGUGUACUGCAAAAUAUUUUCUAUUUCUAUUUUACAAAGUAAAAAUUAUUUUAAAUAAAAAAAUAGUUCAGCAAAUGUAAUGUAAGAUGCGAAGUUGAUAAACAGUUAAUUUAUUUGUAAAAUAAAGCAUGUUUAGUUGGAGCUGGUUGAUUGAUUUGGUGUAGUUCAGUCACAGGAGGUACUGUGUUAUUAGCGAGAG